rnacentral:rRNA from 1 species
AUGUCUGAUCAAAGUGAUAGUCAGAACAAGUCAGAGGAGCAGAUGGACUUGAGUGAGGGCACUAGUCCCUCUGGAAGCUAUGAUGAAGGUAGCAGGAGCACACCUAGUAACUUGCCUAAGGCUCAGACUAGGCAGAGGAAGAAGAAAACUUCAGACUCUGAGGAUGAAGACUUUGAGUUUGAAGAAGUCGGCUCAAAGAAGAAGGUGCUAAAGAAGGAAUAUGAUGAUGUUGCCUCUACCAAGCCAGGACAGCACAAGAAAGCACCUGCCAGGAGAGUGCCAAUGUCUAAGGCCAGGGGAUCAACUCAAGAUACCAUGGUAUUCACACUUGAGCAAAGAACAUGUGAAGAGAGUAAGAAGAGGGUUAGGAAAACCACUGCUAGAGUGCUUGGAAAUCCAUCCAUGAGAGACUCUGCUAGUGAGGAGGAAGAGGAAGAAGAGGUUGUUGCACAAGCACCUCCUGCUAAGUCACACAAGUUGAUGGGGGAUGCCAUCAAGUCUGGGGCUGCUCCUUCAAAGCCCAAGCCAGCCCCCAAAGCUCCAGUUCAAGCCUCCAAGACAGCUCCAAAGAGAAGCACCAGGAACAUCCCAGCUGCAGAAAAGAACAAGGCCCCAGUGCCUGAAGUUGAGGAAGAAGAUGCUGAAGCCCAAGUGCUUAGGAAGCUCAAACCAAAAAUUUCAGACCAUGAUGACAAUCAUCCAGUGGCUGAGAAUAUGAAGGAAAGGAAAGAUGCAGGUCUCAGAUUGUGGAGACAAGUUGAUCCAUAUGCAGUGAGGAGAAGGGCAGUUGUGGACUAA